CAGACCACGCCCCUCCACCACUAAGCUCCGCCCCCUCCGCCACGACAAGAUGUCCGUACACGUGAGGAGCGACUUUGAGAGCGGAAGGGAAAGGGAAAUAACUGUUGUCAGGUGUUACGCCGCCGUCGCCGAAGAAGAGUUGUCGGGAUUUUCCCGCGAAAGCCGUGGUCUCGUGUCUGCCAUAGUGCACGUGAACUUUGACCGGAGGGUCAAUGAGUUUCUCAAAGCGGCGGCAGUCUGACUCACAAAGAAGAAGGAAUCGAGAGACGGCGAAAUCCAACCGUUUAUGGAGUCAAGACAUGCCGGAUUACAGUCGAAGAUCACUGGCUUGGCUCCAAUCAUUCUCUGCCGCCUUCCUCCUAAGUCAAACACUUCACAGUGUGCAUUCAUCAAAAUACACUGCCCAUUUUGAGAAUCUGAACGGUUCUGUUUCUGGACAUCAAGGCAGAAGGGCCAUCGUCCGUACAGAAUUGCCCCCAAAGCAGAAUUUCCUCCAAUUCCGAGUGCCCGGUUGUCACAUGGUUCUCCAAAUAGUUGUCCUCGAUUUUUUUCCUUUGUUUAGGUUGAGGAUUGCUAUUGUUUCCAUAUCGAUGACGUCAGAGGACAAGCUACCAGUUUCCGUUAUUUCCGUGCCUUGAAAUUUCUCAGGAUUCUCUUGUUCGGCGGACAUAGCACGUCUUGUCUCAUUCAGAUAGGAUGUAAAUUUCAAACGGAAGUUUUGUCCCGCUUUACUUCUGAGGAAAACAAGAGUGCACAGGAGUCUUCAAGGGCGCCCCCCCCCCC